UGCCCAGCAACUGCUAUCCCUACCUCCUCAUGGUACCGGCCGGAAACUAUGAGCAACCUUAGGGAAGUACCCGACCAACCCCGGUGGAAACUUUGAUCAUAGACUGACAGGGAAGG
rnacentral:ribozyme from 1 species